rnacentral:rRNA from 1 species
GAGUUUGAUCGUGGCUCAGGACGAACGCUGGCGGCGUGCCUAACACAUGCAAGUCGAACGGAGUAUUUCGGCGGAAGUUUUCGGAUGGAAGCCGAUAUACUUAGUGGCGGACGGGUGAGUAACACGUGAGGAACCUGCCUCUCAGAGGGGGAUAACGUCUUGAAAAGGACGCUAAUACCGCAUGACAUCUCGUGACCGCAUGGUUGUGAGAUCAAAGGAGCAAUCCGCUGAGAGAUGGACUCGCGUCCGAUUAGCCAGUUGGCGGGGUAACGGCCCACCAAAGCGACGAUCGGUAGCCGGACUGAGAGGUUGAACGGCCACAUUGGGACUGAGACACGGCCCAGACUCCUACGGGAGGCAGCAGUGGGGGAUAUUGCACAAGUGGGGGAAACCCUGAUGCAGCGACGCCGCGUGGAGGAAGAAGGUC